UUCGUAGGUGACUGCGGAAGAUCAUUAGUGAUUGCCAUCUUGGCUUAAAACUAUAUCCACAUACACCUGUGCACUGUUCGAUUGACUCUCACGAGUCAGUUUUUACAAACAUUGUGUAAUGAACGUCUAGUUAUUAUAACAAAAAUAACUUUCAACAACGGAUCUCUUGGCUCUCGCAUCGAUGAAGAACGCAGCGAAAUGCGAUAAGUAAUGUGAAUUGCAGAAUUCAGUGAAUCAUCGAAUCUUUGAACGCAACUUGCGCUCUUUGGUAUUCCGAAGAGCAUGCCUGUUUGAGUGUCAUGAAAUCUCAACCAUUAGGGUUUCUUAAUGGCUUGGAUUUGGGUGUUGCCAGCUUGUCUGGCUCGCCUUAAAAGAGUUAGCAAACAUAACAUUGUUGUCUGGUGUAAUAAGUUUCACUGGUAAGACGUGUGACUGUAAGCUUCUAAUCGCCCUUGGGCAAUUUUGACUCUGCCUCAAUCAGGUAGGACUACCCGCUGAACUUAAGCAUAUCAUAAGCGGAGGAAAAAA
rnacentral:rRNA from 1 species